AUCGCUUCUCGGCCUUUUGGCUAAGAUCAAGUGAAGAUCCUUUCUUUGUCAUUAAUGUUUGCCAUUGUAAUUACAAUGUGUCUUGGUGUGGGUCUUUUGGUUCAUCUUGUUUGGGACUCUCUGUGCUUGUGUUACCUUUUUCUUUCCCAUACCAUGGAAAUUUUC
rnacentral:snRNA from 1 species